rnacentral:rRNA from 1 species
UGGCUCAGAUUGAACGCUGGCGGCAUGCCUUACACAUGCAAGUCGAACGGCAGCACGGGAGCAAUCCUGGUGGCGAGUGGCGAACGGGUGAGUAAUAUAUCGGAACGUGCCCAGUCGUGGGGGAUAACGUAGCGAAAGCUACGCUAAUACCGCAUACGAUCUAUGGAUGAAAGCGGGGGAUCGCAAGACCUCGCGCGAUUGGAGCGGCCGAUAUCAGAUUAGGUAGUUGGUGAGGUAAAGGCUCACCAAGCCGACGAUCUGUAGCUGGUCUGAGAGGAUGAUCAGCCACACUGGGACUGAGACACGGCCCAGACUCCUACGGGAGGCAGCAGUGGGGAAUAUUGGACAAUGGGCGAAAGCCUGAUCCAGCAAUGCCGCGUGAGUGAUGAAGGCCUUAGGGUUGUAAAGCUCUUUUACCCGGGAUGAUAAUGACAGUACCGGGAGAAUAAGCUCCGGCUAACUCCGUG